UACAUUCAUGCAAGAGCUAACGUUUCCCAGCCAGCUUGAGCUAUUGCGCGACCGCCGGCCGGCGCAUACCGUAUUUCUCAAAAAUAUCAGCGGUUUGCCGGCACAAAGGUCGCGACUUGCAUAAUCGUGUCCACGCCCGCCGUAUAACCUAAGCUGCCCCGCACUGUCGUCUACAUCGCAAUUAUGAUUACCUAUACAAAAAUAUUAUUUUAUACGUAUUUCCA